rnacentral:rRNA from 1 species
GACCCCGCUGAUUUAAGCAUAUAUUAAGCGGAGGAAAAGAAACUACAAGGGAUUCCCCUAGUAGCGGCGAGCGAAGCGGGAAAAGCCCAAGAUGAAAAGCCUGCUUGCAGGCGUUGUAUUUGAGCGUUCUCGGGGUGUCAGUGCGGGCAAGUUGCAUGGAAAUGCACGCCGUGGAGGGUGAGAGCCCCGUCCAACCCACACAGGACACGCCGUACGAGAGCGUUUCAGGCGAGUCGGGUAGCUUGGGAAUGCUGCUCUAAUCGGUGGUAAAUCUCAUCGAAGGCUAAAUAGCGGCUGGAGACCGAUAGCGAACAAGUACCGUGAGGGAAAGAUGACAAGCACUUUGAAAAGAGGGUGAAAAGAGCCUGAAACCGUCAUGGGGGAAGCGGAUCGCGUUGGCCUGGUGGGCGCCUGUGUGUUCAGCCUUCGGGUGCAUUGGCACAGGUGCUUAUCCGCUGUGGGUUUUCGGGGGUCGAUUUUGGAUCCCUGGAGGCUGAGGGCUCCCUUCGGGUGAGGACAGCGGAGUGACGACGCGAUACGACCCGUCUUGAAACACGGACCAAGGAGUCUAGCGCGGGUGCGAGUCGGAGGGUGCAAGCCCGUGGGCGAAGUGAAAGCGAGUGUAAAAACGAGCAGUUUGGGGCGGCAUAAGAUCGUUGAUCUCAAGACCGACCCAGAGCAGUUGCGCUGGGACCCGAAAGAUGGUGAACUAUGCCGGAGUAGGGCAAAGCCAGAGGAAACUCUGGUGGAGGCUCGUAGCGGUGCUGACGUGCAAAUCGCUCGUCCAACUUGGGUAUAGGGGCGAAAGACUAAUCGAACCAUCUAGUAGCUGGUUCCCUCCGAAGUUUCUCUCAGGAUAGCGGGCCGACAAGUUGUUUUGUGCGGUAAAGCGAAUGAUUAGCGCACGUGGGGCCAUUUCGGCUUCAGGCGAUUCUCAAACUUUAAAUGCGCAAGGGUGUCGCUGCUUAAUUGAGCGGCACCGCUAAAAACGUCGGCCCUGUGGGCCACUUUUGGUAAGCAGAACUGGCGAUACGGGAUGAACCGUAAGCAUGGUUAAGGCGCCAAACUGCCCGCUUAUAAACCCCACAAAAGGUGGUGAUUCAUCCACACAGCAAGACGGUGGCCAUGGAAAUCGGAAUCGCCAAGGAGUGUGUAACAACUCACCUGCCGAAU